ACCUUUUUAAUAUAUUAUAGUAUAUUUGACUUCCAAUCAGAAAGGCUAAAUUUAAAUUUAGAAAAGGUA
rnacentral:tRNA from 1 species